CCUAUUCUUUCUCUUUUCUCUCAUUCUGUUCCAAAACCGACGGGAUAAAUAUAGUGAGCUUUUUCAUCUUAUUCAGCUCAAAUUUGAAAUCUGGCAGUUCCUACUCCAUCGCCUUUGCAUCAGGAUGUGAAAAAUAGAGAGAAACUUGAGAUUGGGUACUUUGAUGAUACUGUUCGUGGGGUUUUGCCACAAUCCUUUUCUCGUUCUGUCCUUGUGUACAGUUCUGCCUCAAAGAUCGACUUUGCGUACCAACAAUUGAUCAUGUGUGAAGUCGGCAACAUUGGACGACUUGGGGUGGUGAAGGAAGUGGCUAUGAAUCUGAGCCUACACGAUCGAUUAUCUAAUUUUCUUAUUUAUUUUCUUAACCUUCUGAUUUUGCUUAAUAUAUAUUGUUAUCCGUUGAUAAAGUUUCUCUAUGUGAGCUUUCUUAUGUUUACAGGUUACCCGAAGUCCAAUUCGAUCAAGAGAAACUCAACAACCUGUGAUUUUAUGGUUUUGUUUGGUUGAGGUUCCAGUGUAUUUGAUUGAGUUGUUUCUUUUGGGUGCCUCAGCCCAUAUUUUAUUUUUUUACACAAUAAGAAAAUAUCAAUUUUGUAACGACGUUUUUUCUUUCUUAAAUUCAAUUUUUCUGUAACUAAUGUUAUUAGUGACGGAAUUUGGGAUAAAAUUACGUUAGCUACCUGAACUUUAGGAACGGAAUCCCUUUACAAAUAUACUAUUUUUUUUUUGUAGUGUUAACUUAGGGUGAAAUAUGGAAAUGAAUAUUUCUGCGGAUCUAGUGUUUUCUUGAAUUGUUCCUAUUUGUAUUGACUUGAAAAAGUUUUUAUGGAUACUUUGAAAACACUAUAGUAUUGUUGUGCAUAAUAGAAUUCAUGUCUUAUGAAAGAAAUUCUACAAUUAAUUUUCUAUUGUAAUUGUGCAUAGUUGAUCACUCUGUACAUAAUAAUAUAAUUAAAAUUGUUGAGUAGGAGAAGGAUUGACACACUUAAUAAUUUCAACACGGUCUUUUUAUAUAUAUUAUAUAUAAAUACAAUAAAAAAAAUGGUGAUUAAAUAAAAAAAAUAUGGAAAAAUAAACUUAACAAAAAAUACAUAUAUAGAGGAAUAUAUUUAUAGAUAUGUAGACAAUAUAAAUUGUAAAUUAUAAGAUAUUAAUUAAAAAAAAAAUAGUAAGAGCCAUCAAAGAAAAAUCUAGAACAAACUGGUUCUAGAAAUAUCUCUCUGCUACUAUAGAAACAGGUGUAUUAAGUAAGUGAAAAUCACACAAACAUGACCGAGUGUCUGGUAACGUUUAUUAGAAAAAAUAUUUCUAACUUCUUUUAAGGUUUAAAUCUUUCAUUCUCUACGCAUAGCUUGUAUACGGGCUCCUAUUUGGCUGUGAUUUUUAUUUGUUUUUUUUUUUUUUUAAAUUUUAUAAAGUUUUUUGUUGGAACUAUGAGAUGAGAUAGAUGAGGGAGGCAGCAGAUCCGAUUCAGUUAAUUUAGUUGGAGACUCGAUUAGGAAUAGAACUAUGGAUGGUAGCGAGAGUAUUCUUCAUCCAUCUGGGCGGAGGCUUUGGGGAUGAAUCGUCAUCUACAUCUGCUGCCAACAGUUGCUUCCUGGAUAAAGUCGAUCUGAUACAAAAGAAAGCAAAGGUACUCUCAAGUGAGAGGGAAGAAAAGAAAAAACAAAAAUUCGAAUGGCUUGGCCAAGGAGGAAGCCAACUGUGCUGGAGAGGCACAAAAAGGAUACAAAAAAGACUCAAUGUGUGAUCGUACUUCUGAGGUUUGGCUACUAAAUCAAAAGAGAACCUUAUGGAACCUGAAUAGAAUCCCAGAAGAGGAUGUCAAGGAGGAAAAUAGAGAACCAAAAGAAUUUUUAAAAACAAAGAAAAAUCAGAAGAGGUGCAAGACGAUGAAGAGGGUAAGAUAGUGUUGUGGUCACUGCUGAAAGAUCAGCAGAGCCUGAAAUUAUCAUAAAAGGGAAGCGGGAAGUUGGAAUUGGCUUUCAAUGAAGAGAUCCAAGCUACAAUUUCCGACACUUUUCGUUGCCAAUCGGAAGCUCUAGGGAAGAAAAUGGCAACAACCAAUGGAGCAUUGACUUCAGCUACAGAAAGCCAGGCCAACAACCAAAAUCUGAGGAGUGGAAGAAACACUUGAAGGGCUGAACGCAGCGAAUCGAUUCAGAGGAAGAAUCUGCCAAUGAAGACUCAUCGUCUGAUGGACGCCACCACCGCGCUCAAUCUCUUUACAGCAGCGAAUGUUUUGGCUUUUCUUGAAUUUGUUAGAUAGAUGUUGUAUAUCCUAAUAUAUGCUGAGUGGCUGUUUUAUAAUUGGGUGUUUUAUAUAGUUCGGAUAACGGAUUCUUUUUUCAAAACCUCAUUAUGUGAUUCCAUUAAAAAUGAUUGGUUGCAUUAGAUGGUUUCCCUGUUUUAUCCUUUUUUGAUCGGACACAUUGUUUCGUUCGACGGCAUGCCGUGAAUGAUGCAGCAGUGUUGUCAACCU